rnacentral:rRNA from 1 species
GACAUAGGUGACGAACGUUAUCCGGAAUUAUUGGGCGUAAAGGAUGCGUAGAUGGUUCGAUAAGUUACUGGUGGGAAAUCGAGGCCCAACCUCGUGGAAGCUGGUAAUACUGUCGAGCUUGAGUGCAGGAGAGGUUAACGGAACUUUAUGUGGAGCGGUAAAAUGCGUAGAUAUAUGAAAGAACACCGAUAUAGCGAAGGCAGUUAACUAUUCUGCUACUGACAUUGAGGCAUGAAAGCGGUGGGGAGCAAAACGG